CAGUCCCGCGGGAAAACGAAGGGUGCAAGCGUUACUCGGAAUUACUGGGCGUAAAGCGCGCGUAGGCGGUUCGUUAAGUCUGUUGUGAAAGCCCCGGGCUCAGCCUGGGAAUGGCAAUGGAUACUGGCGAGCUAGAGUGUGUCAGAGGAUGGUGGAAUUCCCGGUGUAGCGGUGAAAUUCGUAGAUAUUCGGAAGAACACCAGUGGCGAAGGCGGCUUACUGGCUCAUUCUAGACGCUGAGGUGCGAAAGUGUGGGGAGCAAACAGGAUUAGAUACCCCCGUAGUCCCUGUCUCUUAUACA
rnacentral:rRNA from 1 species